UGCGUUUACUUUUCUACAUUGGUUAGAUGUAUAGGGGGAGGGUUGAGAUCUCACAAACAUGUUUAACCCCGCCGCAUUUUUGCGCCUGUCCCAAGUCAGGAGCCUCUGGCCUUUGUUAGUCUUGUAUUAUUUUAAUUUUAGUUUCUUGUGUACAAUUUGGAAAUUAGUAUGGCGUUCAUUAUCACUGGACUAGUAUAUAUUUGUUUAGGGGCCAGCUGAAGGACGCCUCCGGGUGCGGGAAUUUCUCGCUACAUUGAAGACCUGUUGGUGACCCUCUGCUGUUGUUUUUUUAUUUGGUCGGGUUGUUGUCUCUUUGACACAUUCCCCAUUUCCAUUCUCAAUUUUAUAAUGUAUAAUUAUGU
rnacentral:lncRNA from 1 species